GAUGAACGCUGGCGGCGUGCCUAAUACAUGCAAGUCGAGCGAACAGACGAGGAGCUUGCUCCUCUGACGUUAGCGGCGGACGGGUGAGUAACACGUGGAUAACCUACCUAUAAGACUGGGAUAACUUCGAGAAACCGGAGCUAAUACCGGAUAAUAUAUUGAACCGUAUGGUUCAAUAGUGAAAGACGGUUUUGCUGUCACUUAUAGAUGGAUCCGCGCCGCAUUAGCUAGUUGGUAAGGUAACGGCUUACCAAGGCAACGAUGCGUAGCCGACCUGAGAGGGUGAUCGGCCACACUGGAACUGAGACACGGUCCAGACUCCUACGGGAGGCAGCAGUAGGGAAUCUUCCGCAAUGGGCGAAAGCCUGACGGAGCAACGCCGCGUGAGUGAUGAAGGUCUUCGGAUCGUAAAACUCUGUUAUUAGGGAAGAACAAAUGUGUAAGUAACUAUGCACGUCUUGACGGUACCUAAUCAGAAAGCCACGGCUAACUACGUG
rnacentral:rRNA from 1 species